rnacentral:rRNA from 1 species
CGUGGAGCGAUUUGUCUGGUUAAUUCCGAUAACGAACGAGACUCUAGCCUACUAAAUAGUGAGUAGAUCGUUUCGUCUACUACGCUUCUUAGAGGGACAAACGGCGCUUAGCCGUACGAAAUUGAGCAAUAACAGGUCUGUGAUGCCCUUAGAUGUCCGGGGCUGCACGCGCGCUACACUGAAGGAAUCAGCGUGCAUACUAACCUUGUCCGAAAGGACUGGGUAACCCGAUGAAACUCCUUCGUGAUUGGGAUAGGGACUUGCAAUUAUUUCCCUUGAACGAGGAAUUCCCAGUAAGUGCGGGUCAUAAGCUCGCGUUGAAUACGUCCCUGCCCUUUGUAC